rnacentral:rRNA from 1 species
GACGAACGCUGGCGGCGUGCCUAACACAUGCAAGUCGAACGGAAAGGCCAUGCUUUUGUGGGGUGCUCGAGUGGCGAACGGGUGAGUAACACGUGUGUAUCCUGCCCUUGACUUUGGGAUAUCUUCAGGAAACUGGGGCUAAUACCGGAUAGGAGCUCUUGCUGCAUGGUGGGGGUUGGAAAGUUUCGGCGGUUGGGGAUGGAAUCGCGGCUUAUCAGCUUGUUUGUGGGGUAGUGGCUUACCAAGGCUUCGACGGGUAGCCGGCCUGAGAGGGUGACCGGCCACAUUGGGACUGAGAUACGGCCCAGACUCCUACGGGAGGCAGAAGUGGGGAAUAUUGCACAAUGGGCGGAAGCCUGAUGCAGCAACGCCGCGUGCGGGAAGACGUCCUUCGGGGUAUAAACCGCUUUCGCCUGAGACGAAGCGUGAGUGACGGUAAUUAGUAAAGAAGCACCGGCUAACUACGUG